UGAAGCUCGCCCGAUCCGAAGCGGUUUCGUCGAACGGCGCGCGCUAUUUUCACGUACCCACCGUAGCAAUGCGCACCGUGCGUUUGCUCAGCCCAGCAAGUUGUGCACGAGUGUAACGAAAGUGACGACAAUCGGCUGGUCAAAUGUUUUGGAGGCGCGCGGUCGUUAAUGGAAUUGUUAUUUUGAGGUAUUUUGUUGCUGUUGUUGCUUCUUUUGAUUCGUGGUGGUGGUGGUGUUUUGCAUUAAUGCUGUGAACGCUGUAAUGUAAACAUACCACAGACAAGUGUGUUUUAAUCAGAGUGUUUGUUUGGGUAUUUUUUGCUGUAAGUGUGCAAAGAAGAAAAAACGACAUAAGCGCUUAACAGCAGUGUUUAUUUUGCAGCUCUCAUCCGCUCAUCAAGGGGGGAGUUAAAUCGAAGGUGACAAAGAUGUGAAAGUGGCUUCGUUGUCGAAACGACGAAAAAAAGAAAGAAAAAUAUCCACACGCUUAUGCGAAUUGGCCACCCUCUCGCGGGCUGGUGUGAAAAACGUAGUCGAGUGAGUCUGUGGUUGUGUGCGUGCAAUUGUGUAUGUGUUUGUGCGGGGUGACAGCAUCACAUUUCGCAUAAUGCUCCGAGCCCAUUUAUUCCAAAACAGGGUUCAAAUUAACAGGUGAAGCAUAUCGAAGAGGAGGAAGAAAACAAAACGCCUACAUCUACAGUGUUGUGUGUCGUGCAGCAAUAUUUACGCCUGUGUUGGUUACGCGAGAAGCAAACUGGUUUUUCUGUGCGAUUGUGUGCUUUUUUUUUUGUUUGGGAUUGAAUAUUUUAUCACCACCGAGGAGUUGUUGAUCUGUUUUUUUUUGUGUGUUUGUCUUGCUGCAAUCUCUCUUAACCUCGCCAAGACGCAACGCGACGACGACGACGAACAGCGUGCCCAGAACGCACGCACGGUGGUAGCGGUGACCAGCUGCCCAAAUAAGGCGAAGCACAAUACCACAGCGCCACAAAAGGAUAAAGUCAUCUCUUGCCUCAUCGGUCCGUCGCACCCUCCGCCUCAAGCUGCCAGUACACGCACAAGAAUUCGUACGUACGGGCAAUAUCUGCAGGACCGAGAGCACAAGAGCUUUAUCCCCGGUUGCUGGAUGUUGCUGGAUGGAAUCUGAAACCAUCUCAGAAGUGAGCUGCUUAGACGGGAUACAUUAGGAACCGGCGUGACGACGGCAACAACGAGAACGACGACGACGACGACGACAAGAGAGCUACACACAUACAUUACUACCGGUAAGGUUAAUUCUAGUCA